UGAGAUGCCGCUUGCCUUCUUCUUUGUUGA
rnacentral:piRNA from 1 species